ensembl:lncRNA
ACCCCGUACCCCACAUCUGACCCCAUUGGGGUGCUGCAGGGUCAUCCUGCUCCACCCCGUGCCCCACAUCUGCCCUCAUUGGGUUCAGCGUGGUCCUCCUGCCCCACCCCACACACCCCAUCUGACCCCCUUGGCGUGCUGCAGGAUCCUCCUGACCCCAUACUCCACAUCUGACCCCAUUGGGGUGCAGUAUGGUCCUCCUGACCCCAUACCCCACACUGGACCACCCUGUGAUGCAGCACCGUCCUCCUAACCCACCCCAUACCCACACCUAUCCCCACUGGGGUGCAGCACAGUCCUCCUGACCCCAUACCCACAUCUGACCCCACUGCAUACUCCAAACCCCCCCCUGUGCCUCACAUCUGACCCCAUUGGGGUGCAGCACGGCCCUCCUGCCCCACCCUAUACCCCACAUCUGACCCCAUUGGGGUGCAGCACGGCCCUCCUGACCCCACACCCCACACCCGACCCCCUUAGAGGUGCACCGUAGCACUGUUGUGCUCUGUGCGCGUCCACCCUGACCCCACACCCCCCUCCCCGCAUCCCCCUCAUUUGGGGACCCCUCAUUUGGGGCCGGGAAGGAGAAUGCAAUCCGCCCCCCACCCGGCCCUACUACAGCUCAGCUUUGGGGCAGCGCCCCCCACCCCAAACCACGGACCCCCCCCGUCCCCACCGACGCAAGCAGAGCGUCGGCGCACAAAGGCGCGGCCCCACAGAGCCCCAAACACCCCCAGCUCUGCGAGGUCCCCCCAUCCCGGCAGCCCUAUGGGGGGGUCGCAGCCCCCUAUGCCCCCCCCAAUCCCACCCCCCCCCAACGGGACGUGCACGGCGCUCGGGCCGAGCGUGGCUCGGAGUCACGUCGGCGUUUGGCAGCGGUGCGGGGAGCGGAGCUGCCAGGCUGGAAAAGCUGACGGGGCGCCGCUAUGGGGCGGGGGAGGAUCUGUGGGGCUGAGCGGCGGGACGUGGGACCGCUCACACCUCAACGGCCCUAUAAGGGACGGCUCCCAACGGUCCCAUUGCCGGAGUCGGAAACCCCAAAGCAGCCGGGAACGGCCCCAAGGGUUGCACGGAGGGCGGAGCUGCUCAGCCCCCCACCCGCGGCCGGCAGCCCACGCGGUCGCAAUGGGGGCAGAGCCCGGUGGGGGUCCCGUGACGGCGGG